rnacentral:rRNA from 1 species
UACGUAGGGGGCAAGCGUUGUCCGGAUUUAUUGGGCGUAAAGAGCUCGUAGGUGGUUCGGUAAGUCGGAUGUGAAAUCUCCAGGCUCAACCUGGAGGGGUCAUUCGAUACUGCCGUGACUAGAGGUCGGUAGGGGAGUGUGGAAUUCCUGGUGGAGCGGUGAAAUGCGCAGAUAUCAGGAAGAACACCGGUGGCGAAGGCGGUGGUCUGGGCCGGCACUGACGCUGAGGAGCGAAGGCGUGGGUAGCAAACAGG